CCUACGGGAGGCAGCAGUGGGGAAUAUUGCACAAUGGGGGAAACCCUGAUGCAGCGACGCCGCGUGAGUGAAGAAGUAUUUCGGUAUGUAAAGCUCUAUCAGCAGGGAAGAAACCCACCCUCCGGGGUGGCGGACGGUACCUGACUAAGAAGCCCCGGCUAACUACGUGCCAGCAGCCGCGGUAAUACGUAGGGGGCAAGCGUUAUCCGGAUUUACUGGGUGGAAAGGGAGCGCAGGUGGCAAGGAAAGUCAGGUGUGAAAACCCGGGGCCCAACCCCGGGAGUGCAUUUGAAACUGUGUGGCUAGAGUGCAGGAGGGGUAAGUGGAAUUCCUGGUGUAGCGGUGAAAUGCAUAGAUAUUAGGAGGAACACCAGUGGCGAAGGCGGCCUACUGGACUGUAACUGACACUGAGGCUCGAAAGCGUGGGGAGCAAACAGGAUUAGAUACCCCAGUAGUC
rnacentral:rRNA from 1 species